rnacentral:misc_RNA from 1 species
GAUGAAGAACGUAGUGAAAUGCGAUACGUAAUGUGAAUUGCAGAAUUCAGUGAAUCAUCGAGUCUUUGAACGCACAUUGCGCCCCCUGGUAUUCCGGGGGGCAUGCCUGUCCGAGCGUCAUUGCUGCCCAUCAAGCACGGCUUGUGUGUUGGGUCCUCGUCCCCCCCGGGGGACGUGCCCGAAAGGCAGCGGCGGCACCGCGUCCGGUCCUCGAGCGUAUGGGGCUUUGUCACCCGCUCUGCAGGCCCGGCCGGCGCUGGCCGACGCGAAAGCAACCAUUUUUUCUCCAGGUUGACCUCGGAUCAGGUAGGGAUACCCGCUGAACUUAAGCAUAUCAAUAAGCGGAGGA